rfam:Stegodyphus mimosarum contig25203, whole genome shotgun sequence.
GCCUUCGUGGUGUAGUGGUCAGCACGCUCGACGCGUAUUCGAGAGGUCCGUGGUUCGAGUCCCGGCGAGGACA